rnacentral:rRNA from 1 species
AUACGGAGGAUCCGAGCGUUAUCCGGAUUUAUUGGGUUUAAAGGGUGCGCAGGCGGCCAUUUAAGUCCGCGGUUAAAUCGUGGGGCUCAACCCCAUUCUGCCGUUGAUACUGGGUGGCUUGAUUGCGGUCGAGGUUGGCGGAAUUCGUUGUGAAGCGGUGAAAUGCAUAGAUAUGACGAAGAACACCGAUUGCGUAGGCAGCUGACCAGAUCGCAAAUGACGCUCAUGCACGAAAGUGGGGGGAUCGAACAGGAUUAGAUACCCUGGUAGUCCGCACAGUAAACGAUGAAUACUUGUUUUCGGCGAUAUAAUGUCGGAGGCAAAGCGAAAGCGAUAAGUAUUCCACCUGGGGAGUACGCCGGCAACGGUGAAACUCAAAGGAAUCGGCGGGG